rnacentral:lncRNA from 1 species
CUCAUUAUUAUGAACUUCUAUAUAUUUUACUCGACAUGUAGAAAGCCACGAAACUACGAUAUUCGUCUUGAGAAAGAAUCUCGCAAGACGUAUAGGCACAGAAAUGUAUCAGUAAAAGGCAUAGAAGUGUAUCAGUAGCAAACGAAAAGCGCCCAGCAACGGCAAUUCUGUGCUUUUUAGCUCAACACGUCUAAACGAGAUGUUUUCUCAAGAUGAAUACCGCAGUUUUUUUAGCUUUCUAUAGUAUAUCCACCUUAAGUAAGAUAUAUAGAAUGCUAAACUGAACUAAUACUGCUUCCGUUGCUAAUAAAGAAUCAUUAUUAUUGUUCAUAACUUCUAUUGACGGCAAAAUUAGCAACAAGCAGUUGACAUCUUUGAACCCCAGUAUUAACUGCCCAGUUGUUCGACCCUGUAUAAAUGUUAUUCGUGCUCCGUCAACAACAAAGCUUCCAUCUGGUCAAUUUACUAACGGCAAUGACCGGUGAAGUCAGCUUUCUGAUUUGAUGAGAUGAAUGAAAUCCGGAAUUCUAGUCGUAACAAAAAGUACUCAAAAGAUUUAACGAAGAUUUGCUGUGUAGUUUUCUUAAAACAGGGAGGAUUGUAAAUUUUUUAAUGAGUUGUAGUGAACCAUAAGCACGUCAGGAGUAGUGUUGGAAAAUCUCAAGAAGCAUGAAAUUUUUGAAGAGUGUUCUGACAGCUAACAACUAAGGUGGAUGUUUAAGCUAUAAUUCAACAAUUCUGAGUGAAAAUAUGUUUCCAGAAGUCAUGGGCACUGUGUUGCAUUUUGCUGUUUUUAAAGCAUGCCCACAAGGGGUAGAGGUAUUGAAUUCAAAAAGGUGGUCACAGUUGUUGUUGGAAAGAUAGUGGAUAACCUUGUGUGCUUUUACCAAGUCAGCUGCUGGACAUUGAAACUUUAGUGUUUCAAUGUCCAGAGAAGAAAUACAUUCAAUAUGGUUCCAAAGCUGCCAAAACCACUCAAGAAAUUUGUGCUGUGUUCAGAGAAGGUGCCAUUACUGACAGAACUGCACAGAAAUGGUUUUCCUUCUUCAAAAAACGGAAAUUCAACCUCACAGACUCUUCACAGUCCAGUCAAACUGUUCAGUUCACUGAAGAUUGAUUGAUGUCAAUCCACAAGAGAAUUAGCCCAGCAGACAGGAUAAUUUCAUGAUACUGUCACCUGUCACCUUUGCUCAGUGGAUAAAAUCCAAAAAUUCAGUGCAAGGGUGCCACUUGCUCUGAAUGAAAGAGAAAAACUCAAAUGCUCCUCUAUUGCCACCAGUUUGAUCACUCAAUACCAGGCUACUUGCAGGUACAAAUGGAGAUUUCUGUAUCACAUCAUCG